UGGGGAAUUUUGGACAAUGGGCGCAAGCCUGAUCCAGCCAUGCCGCGUGUGGGAAGAAGGCCUUCGGGUUGUAAACCACUUUUGUCAGGGAAGAAACGGCUUGAGCUAAUAUCUCAAACUAAUGACGGUACCUGAAGAAUAAGCACCGGCUAACUACGUGCCAGCAGCCGCGGUAAUACGUAGGGUGCAAGCGUUAAUCGGAAUUACUGGGCGUAAAGCGUGCGCAGGCGGCUUUGCAAGACAGAUGUGAAAUCCCCGGGCUUAACCUGGGAACUGCAUUUGUGACUGCAUGGCUAGAGUGCGGUAGAGGGGGAUGGAAUUCCGCGUGUAGCAGUGAAAUGCGUAGAUAUGCGGAGGAACACCGAUGGCGAAGGCAAUCCCCUGGACCUGCACUGACGCUCAUGCACGAAAGCGUGGGGAGCAAA
rnacentral:rRNA from 1 species